rnacentral:rRNA from 1 species
GACGAACGCUGGCGGCAUGCCUAAUACAUGCAAGUCGAGCGAACAGAUGAAGUGCUUGCACUUCUGACGUUAGCGGCGAACGGGUGAGUAACACGUAAGGAAUCUACCUAUAAGCGGGGGAUAACAUUCGGAAACGGGUGCUAAUACCGCAUAAUAUCUUCUUCCGCAUGGAAGAAGAUUGAAAGACGGCUCUGCUGUCACUUAUAGAUGACCUUGCGGUGCAUUAGUUAGUUGGUGGGGUAAUGGCCUACCAAGACGAUGAUGCAUAGCCGAACUGAGAGGGUGAUCGGCCACAGUGGGACUGAGACACGGCCCAAACUCCUACGGGAGGCAGCAGUAGGGAAUCUUCCGCAAUGAGCGAAAGCCUGACGGAGCAAUGCCGCGUGAGUGAAGAAGGCCUUCGGGUCGUAAAACUCUGUUAUAAGAGAAGAACAAAUUGUAGAGUAACUGCUACAGUCUUGACGGUAUCUUAUCAGAAAGCCACGGCUAACUACGUGCCAGCCGCCGCGGUAA